rnacentral:rRNA from 1 species
GUCUACGGCCAUACCACCCUGAAUGCGCCCGAUCUCGUCUGAUCUCGGAAGCUAAGCAGGGUCGGGCCUGGUUAGUACUUGGAUGGGAGAAUGUUAUUUACUGCGAGUUUUCCAUUGAUG